ACGCUCGACACCUACGGGAGGGCAGCAGUGGGGAAUAUUGCACAAUGGGGGAAACCCUGAUGCAGCGACGCCGCGUGAAGGAAGAAGUAUCUCGGUAUGUAAACUUCUAUCAGCAGGGAAGAAAGUGACGGUACCUGACUAAGAAGCCCCGGCUAACUACGUGCCAGCAGCCGCGGUAAUCUGAGCGGGCUGGCAAGGC
rnacentral:rRNA from 1 species